rnacentral:rRNA from 1 species
GUGGGGGAUAUUGCACAAUGGGGGAAACCCUGAUGCAGCGACGCCGCGUGUGGGAAGACGGUCCUCUGGAUUGUAAACCACUGUCCCCAGGGACGAAAAUGACGGUACCUGGGGAGGAAGCUCCGGCUAACUACGUGCCAGCAGCCGCGGUAAUACGUAGGGAGCGAGCGUUGUCCGGAAUUACUGGGUGUAAAGGGAGCGUAGGCGGGGAUGCAAGUUGGGUGUCAAAACUACCGGCUCAACUGGUAGUCGCACUCAAAACUGCAGCUCUUGAGUGAAGUAGAGGCAGGCGGAAUUCCUAGUGUAGCGGUGAAAUGCGUAGAUAUUAGGAGGAACACCAGUGGCGAAGGCGGCCUGCUGGGCUUUUACUGACGCUGAGGCUCGAAAGUGUGGGGAGCAAACAGGA